GGUUAGUGGAGGCAGGUAGUCUAAUGGUUAGAGGAGGCAGGUAGUCUAGUGGUUAGAGGAGGAAUGUAGUCUAGUGGUUAGAGGAGGCAGGUAACCUAGUGGUUAGAGGAGGCAGGUAGUUUAGUGGUUAGAGGAGGCAGGUAGUCUAGUGGUUAGAGGAGGCAGGUAGCCUAGUGGUUAAAGGAGGCAGGUCGUCUAGUGGUUAGAGGAGGCAGGUAGUCUAGUGGUUAGAGGAGGCAGGUAGUCUAGUGGUUAGAGGAGGCAGGUAGCCUAGUGGUUAGAGGAGGCAGGUAGUCUAGUGGUU
ensembl:lncRNA